GCACGGUUGGGUUUCGGCCUGGCAGUGGCGGACGGGUGAGUAUCGCGUAGGAACGUGUCCUUGGGUGGGGGAUAACCGUGGGAAACUACGGCUAAUACCGCAUGAAGCUUGAGGGCCAAAGGCAGUGAUGUUGCCUGGGGAGCGGCCUGCGUACGAUUAGCUAGUUGGUUGGGUAAUGGCUGACCAAGGCGACGAUCGUUAGCUGGUCUGAGAGGAUGAUCAGCCACACUGGGACUGAGACACGGCCCAGACUCCUACGGGAGGCAGCAGUGGGGAAUAUUGGACAAUGGGCGAAAGCCUGAUCCAGCAAUGCCGCGUGGGUGAAGAAGGUUUUCGGAUUGUAAAGCCCUUUCGGCGGGGACGAUGAUGACGGUACCCGCAGAAGAAGCUCCGGCUAACUUCGUGC
rnacentral:rRNA from 1 species